rnacentral:rRNA from 1 species
GAUGAACGCUAGCGGCAGGCCUAAUACAUGCAAGUCGAACGGUGUAGCAAUACACAGUGGCGCACGGGUGCGUAACACGUAUGCAACCUACCUAUUAUUGGGGGAUAGCCUUUGGAAACGGAGAUUAAUACCGCAUAAGACAGUGACAUGGCAUCAUGUAGCUGUUAAAGCUUUGGCGAUAAUAGAUGGGCAUGCGUCCAAUUAGUUAGUUGGUGAGGUAAUGGCUCACCAAGACGAUGAUUGGUAGGGGAUCUGAGAGGAUAAUCCCCCACACUGGCACUGAGAUACGGGCCAGACUCCUACGGGAGGCAGCAGUAGGGAAUAUUGGGCAAUGGACGGAAGUCUGACCCAGCCAUGCCGCGUGCAGGAUGACGGCGUUAUGCGUUGUAAACUGCUUUUUUAUAGGAAGAAGAAGCCCUUGCGAGGGAAAGUGACGGUACUAUAAGAAUAAGCACCGGCUAACUCCGUGCCAGCCGCCGCCGUAA